rnacentral:rRNA from 1 species
AAUCAACGCUGGCGGCGUGCCUAACACAUGCAAGUCGAACGCGAAAGCCCUUUCGGGGGUAAGUAGAGUGGCGUCCGGGUGAGUAACACGUAGGUAAUCUGCCUUCGGGUGGGGAAUAACCAGUCGAAAGAUUGGCUAAUACCGCAUAAUGCAGCGGCACCUAAUGGUGAUUAGUUGUUAAAGCGGGGGAUCGUAAGACCUCGCGCCUGAAGAGGAGCCUGCGGCAGAUUAGCUAGNGGUGAGGUAAUGGCUCACCAAGGCUUCGAUCUGUAGCUGGUCUGAGAGGACGGCCAGCCACACUGGCACUGACACACGGGCCAGACUCCUACGGGAGGCAGCAGUAAGGAAUAUUGCGCAAUGGGCGAAAGCCUGACGCAGCGACGCCGCGGUGGGGGAUGAAGGUCUUCGGA